GACUCGAUAGCUCAAUGGGUAUAGAGCGGCGGUCUAGAUACCCCGAAGAUGCGAGUUCAAAUCCCGCUCGAGCCA